GGAGACAUAGCUCAGCUGGGAGAGCGAGCGACUGAAGUUCAGUCAUUCAGCCUUUCCUUGUGAAAGACAUCGCUAGGUCGGGUGUUCGAUCCACCCUGGCUCCA